GACGAACGCUGGCGGCGUGCUUAACACAUGCAAGUCGAACGGGCCUUGUCCCCUUUUUUUUUGGGGGUGGGGUUAGUGGCGAACGGGUGAGUAACACGUGAGUAACCUGCCCCUCACUUCUGGAUAACCGCUUGAAAGGGUGGCUAAUACGGGGUGUUCUGGCCUGCUCGCAUGGGUGGGUUUGGAAAGAUUCGACCGGUUUUGGUUGUUUUGGUGGGGGAUGGGCUCGCGGCCUAUCAGCUUGUUGGUGGGGUGAUGGCCUGCCAAGGCUUUGACGGGUAGCCGGCCUGAGAGGGUGGGCGGUCACACUGGGACUGAGACACGGCCCAGACUCCUACGGGAGGCAGCAGUGGGGAAUAUUGCACAAUGGGCGCAAGCCUGAUGCAGCGACGCCGCGUGAGGGAUGGAGGCCUUCGGGUUGUGAACCUCUUUCGCCAGUGAAGAGGGUCCUGCUCUUUGUGGUGGGGUUGACGGUAGCUGGGUUAAUGAAGCGCCGGCUAACUACGUG
rnacentral:rRNA from 1 species